CUACGGGACGCUCCAGUGGGGAAUAUUGCACAAUGGGGGAGACCCUGAUGCAGCAACGCCGCGUGGAGGAUGACACAUUUCGGUGCGUAAACUCCUUUUAUAUAGGAAGAUAAUGACGGUACUAUAUGAAUAAGCACCGGCUAACUCCGUGCCAGCAGCCGCGGUAAUACGGAGGGUGCAAGCGUUACUCGGAAUUACUGGGCGUAAAGAGCGUGUAGGCGGGUUUGUAAGUUGGAUGUGAAAUCCUAUGGCUCAACCAUAGAACUGCAUCCAAAACUACUUACCUAGAGUGUGGGAGAGGUAGAUGGAAUUUCUGGUGUAGGGGUAAAAUCCGUAGAGAUCAGAAGGAAUACCGAUUGCGAAGGCGAUCUACUGGAACAUAACUGACGCUGAGACGCGAAAGCGUGGGGAGCAAACAGGAUUAGAUACCCGAGUAGUC
rnacentral:rRNA from 1 species